rnacentral:rRNA from 1 species
CCCUUAGAUGUUCUGGGCUGCACGCGCGCUACACUGAUGCGCUCAACGAGUUUACGAACUUGCCCGGAAGGGUUGGUUAAUCUUUUUAAAACGCAUCGUGAUGGGGAUAGAUGAUUGCAAUUAUUCAUCUUCAACGAGGAAUUCCUAGUAAACGCAAGUCAUCAGCUUGCAUUGAUUACGUCCCUGCCCUUUGUACACACCGCCCGUCGCACCUACCGAUUGAAUGGUCCGGUGAAAUCUUCGGAUCUGAGAGAUGUCUGAUUAAUUUCGGACGCCUUUUGGAAAAGUUGCUUAAACCUUACCAUUUAGAGGAAGGUGAAGUCGUAACA